rnacentral:tRNA from 1 species
AAAGGGAGACCUAAUUCAGGUAGGAGACGAAAAAAAGUAGUCCCUACCAGGAAUCAAUCCCAAAAGGUCGGAGCGAGGCGAAAUUGGCUUUCAAACUAGGUUCUGGGUUCAAACAAGACCUGAAUCAGGAACAAGGGCUAUUAGCUCAGGUGGUUAGAGCGCACCCCUGAUAAGGGUGAGGUCCCUGGUUCGAGUCCAGGAUGGCCCACCUGCACAGGUGGCAAAAACAAGAGAAGCGAGGAAUCAGCACCUUAUCUUACUGACAUAGUAAGAGAGAAUGCUGGCUCUGAGUAAAGAGUCCAGAGGAACCUUGAAAACUGCAUAGAGCUAGGUGAAAAAGCCAAAAAAGAAGACCGCAAG